rnacentral:rRNA from 1 species
GACAGAGGGUGCAAACGUUGUUCGGAAUUACUGGGCGUAAAGCGCGUGUAGGCGGUCUCGCAAGUCGGAUGUGAAAGCCCAGGGCUCAACCCUGGAAGUGCACUCGAUACUGCGAGGCUAGAGUCCCGGAGAGGAUGGUGGAACUCUCGGUGUAGAGGUGAAAUUCGUAGAUAUCGAGAAGAACACCGGUGGCGAAGGCGGCCAUCUGGGACGGUGACUGACGCUGAGACGCGAAAGCGUGGGGAGCAAACAGG